ACACAGUCCUCUUUUAUUUUUUUUUCUAUAUUUUGUUAUUUAGUUUUCUUCAAUUAUAUAUUUUUUAAAAGUCAUAGCGUUUUUCUUUGUAUAGUAUAUUCAGUUGUGUCGUUUAAAAGGAGUUCAUUUCAAUUCAGUUCAGUUUAGUUCAAAAUGAAAAAAGAAAAUAAAUUGUGCUGAAUGUCUUGAAAAUGCUUGUUUACCAGAACUAUCAACUUAAAGAUACGGCUGAAGAAAUUAUGAGCAACAAACUGUAACAGAUCCCAUUACUCCAAGGAAAUGCAAAGCGGUAGUGAAUGUGUUUUUCUUCAGAAUUCAGCUCAAUAUUGGACAAAGUAGAUGCGAUGUACCUGUACUUAAAUUAGUUUCUAAAUUCUAUUUUAACUAAAGUGUCACAAGAAAUGUCAAUAUUAAUGGAAUAAUGGAUCUAUUUUAUAAAUAUUCAAUUAACCGAUCCUUAAUGAAUUUAACAAGAAUUAUGAUGAAAUUCAAGAAUCAGACGUAAUCUCACCAAAAAUAUGAGGCAACAUAACUGAAUAACGUCCUUAUGUAUGGCAAUUUUAUUUAGCUCGAGUCAAAGAGGUCAAUAAGGAGUAAUCUAUAGCACUUUUGUAAGCCAAGACAUUGUAACAUGAAAUUUUGAAAAUAAUGUUAAGGAAAAAGGAGAGUAAAGAGAAAAGAGUAGAAAACGUUUAAAGAAUUCAGAAUAUGAUCAAUUUUUAAGAAUGGAGAAAUUUAAGCUUGAUUUUGGAAAAUA